rnacentral:lncRNA from 1 species
UUUUUAUUUUUAUUUAUUUUGGGAGGGGGGAUCUGCUUUUAAAAUUGUAACAUUUACACCUUUUUAUACAAGGUUCACAUUUACGAUUGAAUAAAUUUCCUAUUUUUUUCUCAUCAUUACACAAAUAUAUUAAAAGGAAAUAAAGAUUUUUAUUAAAGGCCAGUAGGGGAGAGGUGGUACAAAUUUUCCAUUAGGGAGUUUCAAAGAACAGGCUUCCGGUGGUGCCAAAGGAAGACUUUGGGUUUGUCUGUUAAGUACUUCCUAUGCUUUCCUCAUCAAACAGACAACAGGCAGGUGCAGUAAAGCCAUACUGUGAAUUCCUAUCUUCAUUUCAACAUACCCAGAGUCAAGGGCCCAGAUGCCAGCAGCUGAAGCAAGCAGGCUUUUCCUCCCUAUAGAUCCAGAUAUGUGAGUCAAAACUUGGCUUUCUUACAUAGUAUAGUAUCUUGUGAGUUGUGGUUUUUUUCCUAAUGUGCUAGAGGGAAGAAAAAUAGCUGAGCUUUGUAAAAUGACAGCUCUCUAUUUUUAAAUGAGUUUGAAAAGCCGAUUAAAUUAUGUAUUUUAUUGCCUCUGUGAAUAUCAUAUUAAAUGAAUAUUUUAUUUUAAAGCCUUGAAUAAAUGAAAAUAAUUUUUGUAAUGUUUGGUCUAUUCGAGUCUUUGUGACAACUGUCAAGAUUUCUUUGCUGUUCAACUGUAGAGAUAUAAAUAAGGUGGAGUUUCUCUAAUAUUAAAUUGUUCUUUGAGUGGUGCCUGAAAGAAACUCUUAAUUAAAUACUCAAAUAAUUAUGUCUCCCACUGAUACAGAUUGAGAUUGUCCCCAAGCAAAUCAUACUGGGGGAGCAUUAAUCAAAGACUUAAAAACAGUGUGACAAUGACAACUGAUAUAAAAUAAUAAUAAAAAUAUUACAUAUACUUACAAAUAAGACUACCAUCACCUUUUAUGAAAAAUUUAUAGAGUAAUAUAUAAAUAUGAAAAUGAAUAUAUAUUCAUUUUGAAUAUAUAUAUUUAUAUGUAUAAUAUAUAAAUACAUUUAGUGAGACACAGAGAAAGAGACUUCAAUUAUGGUGCCAGUGCAUUAAAAUCUCUCACCAAAGGAUUGAAGAAUUCUGGAUAUAAGCCCCAUCUGACCCCUCAAAGACAUCACUCUUUUGUCCCUCUAGGAAACUUGACUCUCUUCUAGCAGGAAGCAAUUUAUCUUUCUUGGGAUAUUUGACAACCCAUUGCCUUUCAAGCAUUUACCUCUUCAAAACCACAUUGGUUUAGAACAAGAGUCUUCAUACUAUUUUAUGGGUACUCCUGGGAGUUCAUGAGAUUGUCCAAGGAAUAUGCAGGCAUGGACAGGGAAUCAGUUUCCAUUUCUUCAAUUUCCAUAUGUACUCACUCAAAACUUCUGCUUGAGAUGCCCCAGUGUUCCACAUGAGCUGGGUUCUCCCUCCACACCUCCCCUUUCCUGGAAGAGCUCUUCCCCUUGAAAACAAAAGCCUACUCUAGCCACCCCUAAUCUACCUGUGGUGGAUAGGCUCUGGGGGACAGACUUUUGGACACCAACUAAAGGAACAAUUCAGAAUAUUAGUGUCUGAGAAAGGCUUAUUUUUUUAAUUGAUUACAUAUCUAUUUAAGACUUUAGGAAUGGAGUAUUUUUGCCUGCAUUGGAACAUUUUGAAUAUAGAAAUAUGAAGAAGUGGAAGUGAAGACAAAUUUCCAUGAAACUGCUAGCACUUCCAUCUCCACCUUUACCCCCCCCCCCCCAAAAAAAAAAGCCUCACUCUUGAGGAUAAUCCAAACCCAUAUUGAUAUAUUUGUUAGAACUGAAAAAUGAAGUCAGAUUUUUUUUCUGACAGAAAGAAAGUCUGAUUUGGCUGAUUGGUUUAACAAGGGCCUCUGUUUUGCCAAUUAGGAAAUAUGAAGGACAUUUUUCAUUAAUUAGAUUAGCUGAAUCUGUAGCUCCAAAGUUUUUAAAAAAUAUUUAAAGCAUGUGGUAAUAUAGAGAGCAUAUUUUAAAAAUAAUUGACCUAGAAUAUAUAGACUCUUACAACCCUAUAAUAAGAAAGUAAGUCAAUUUUUUAAAUGAGCAAAAGAAUUUGAACAAAUGAGCAAAGAAUGGCCAUAAAGCAAAUAAGCACAUGGCAAUGGCAAAUGAAUAUAGGAAAAGAUGCUCAACAUCAUUAAUAGUUAAAUAAAGACAAACUAAAACCACAAUAAGGUACCACUUAAUACCCACAAAAUAGCUAAAAUAAAAAAUUACCGAUGAUAGCAAGUAUUGAUGAGAAUAUAAACAAUAACUCCCAUAGACUUCAUGUGGCAUGGUCACUUCAAAAUCAGUUUGCAGUUUCUUAUAAAGUUAAGCAACCAGUAACCAUAUAACAGCAGUGUCACUCCUAGAUAUUUACCCAGUUACCAGAAGUAGAACACAGUAACAGAAAAAUCAGAAGCCAGGAACUUGGAGAGGGCUUGACGAUAAGAAUCAUAAGGGGACAUUCAGGGUGAUGGAAAUGUUCCAAAUCAUGACUUGGGUGGUGGUUACACAACAUCAUACCCUCGUCAAAAUGCAUAGAACUGUACACUUUAAAUUGGUGAAUUUUAUUUCACGUAAAUUAUACCAUUAAUAAAGCUAGUUUAAAAUGUUAUUGUCCACGAGUAGCAGGGAAAAUUAUUACAUUUUUCCCGACCCUCUCUGAGAAUAUUGAGUUAAAUUUGGAGCCUCUAAGUGAAAGAGUAACAGGCUCUAAGAACUGUCAAGCAAGUCUACGAAAGCCUUUUAUUGUGAUACUUCCUAGAAAUUAAAAGCUCAAGUUCUAGAAACAUUUUGAAAAACAAGUCUUUCCAGUUCUUUUCUUUCAACAAAACUGAAAAAGGUUCUCAUUGAGUUGUCAAUCUUCCCAUUAAAAAUUUAAAAAAAAAAAUGUUUUGAGGAUAGACCACUGUGGUUUUUUAGCAUAUAACUUGGAAGAAGUUCGAAUUUGAGGGGCUAUAUGCACCAAAAGUCCCUGUCAUCUACCUCUUGAUGUGAAACAAAGUUGACCAGCACGUAAAUCUAAAAAAAAAAAAAAAAA